GGAGGCUGGUCCUUGAACGUGGCUUCCGGAGCUAACGCGUUAAAUGACCGCCUGGGGAGUACGGCCGCAAGGUUAAAACUCAAAUGAAUUGACGGGGGCCCGCACAAGCGGUGGAGCAUGUGGUUUAAUUCGAUGCAACGCGAAGAACCUUACCUGGCCUUGACAUGUCGGAAUCCUCAGAGAUGCGGGAGUGCCUUCGGGAAUCAGAACACAGUGUGCAGGCGUUCACUCGUGUCUGAGAUGUUGGUUAAGUCCCGCACGAGCGCAACCCCUGUCCUUUUUUCAGCACGUAAUGGUGGGAACUCAAGGGAGACUGCCGGUGAUAAACCGGAGGAAGGUGGGGAUGACGUCAAGUCAUCAUGGCCCUUACGCCAGGGCUACACACGUGUACAAUGGCGCGUACAGAGGGGUGCAAGCUAGCGAUAGUGAGCGAAUCCAAAAAGCCCAUCGUAGUCCGGAUCGGAGUCGAAACUCGACUUCCGGAUUCCUCCAGGUGAGAG
rnacentral:rRNA from 1 species